rnacentral:lncRNA from 14 species
AGGAAACCUCUUCAGCAGGCAUAUUGAGUUCUGGCAAACUGCAAGGCCAUACGAUGAAAAGCAAUUACUUUCCCCACUGGAAAUAAUGGAAAUGCAAAACACUUUCUUCUAACAGAAAUCCUUCUUCCUUUGCUGAGCUUGGAUAAGCAAGUACAGACAUGUCAUCCUCCUUAAUAAGAGCAUCAUGGAAGCCCUUAAUUUUGGACUUUGGACUAGAAGGCACAUUCUGGGUUUCACAAAAAGGAAGGAAGAAGCCUUGAUUAAAUCAGACUUCCUCAUCCAAUUGGCUCACUGGUUCAGUGCUGACUGAUUACGCAUGAGGUUUCCUAUUUGCUUCGAACAGCUCCUGCGCUGUCUGCCAGUGAGACAUGGCCUGUUGCCCACAGUGUGGCUCCAGCAGCAAGGGCAGGUUUGCAAACCCGAGCAUCAAGACUACACCUGCAAACACAAGGAGUUUCAAAUGAACUGCUGCUGGUUCCCGACACUCAGGCCACAUCCUUUCCAUCCUGCUCAUGUCUGCAUCAGCCAAAGCCCGUGUUGUGCCUUCCCAGCUGCCUGCCAAGAGCUAUGGCAGUGAUACACAUUGCUUCCCAGCUCAGAGAUGGAUACCCAGCCCUGACCUGGGGUGCGUUGGGGCCUGUUUACCAACUCCCUCUAGAUCCUGACUAUCUGUAAGGAAUAGCACUGACUGGAAAACUUUUCACUUUGGGAUGUUGAACUCCACGUAUUCCUAAAUCACACAGAAACGCAUAUUAAAGGAAUGUUGAAG